AGACGCGAGGAGCUACCGACUGGCUGCAGCACCUCAUUUACACGGAUGUUGAGGAUGCUGAAGAUGCUGCGUUAUAACUCACAGCUCCAUCUAAGCGAACGGAGUCCAGAGAUGGGUGACUCCUCAUCCUCAAUAUUUCCCUCCACUCGAGCAGAAACAGCAAUAAGCAUGAAGAGGGGUUGGUUUCUGUCUUUGGUUAUCUAGCUGUAUGAGUAUAAAACAUGUCAUAAAGCUAGAUAACCGAAAGUAGAAAUUAAUCUCUAACUCACAACCAUCUUGUGUGAAUCUCCCAAACCAUGUGACCUAUGGACAUGUUUAACAGAGCUCUGUUCCAGUCUACAACAUGCCAUAAUAAAGUACAGUGUCAUGAACUUAGGCUGCAUGCUGUACAGAAGAGGUGACAGAUACAUGGAUGCUAGGAGGAAAACACCUUUGUUCCUGAUUGCCAUAUUUCUCAUCAUGCCGAGAGAUCUCCGGUGCCAUCUGGGUAUAUGGGGCACUAUGCCCGUGCCACCGGCGAUAAAGCCCCAUUAUCUCCCUGGAGCCUUGGCACGAUGAACGAGGAAGGCAGGGAGGCCAUCUUGAGGGAGAUCUCACUGAAACAGCUAAGAUGGCUGGACUGGCAUACGAGAGCACUCUUGGUGUGUUAACUGCAGCAGAGGACACUGAAAACCAUGAUGGAAUAUGGACCCUUUUCUCUUCAAGAAUAGAAUUAUAAUAUUUGUAAAUGUGAUUUUUAUGUCAUAUUGACAGUCAACUUCAUAUAUUAACACAAUCUGUAUUUGAGUAGGAGCUUUUGGUUUAUUGUUUUACUUUGAGAUUGCAUCCUGUUUAUUAGACUGUUAUUUCUUUGUUCAGCAGAAAGUAAAACCUUAUACAAUGUGUAUAUUGUUGAGUUUUACAUAAAAGUUAUGAAUAAAAGCUAUUUCAGAAACCACUGUCAAC